rnacentral:tRNA from 1 species
AAUGAAGUGCCUGAUUAAAAAGGAUUAUCUUGAUAGGAUAAAUCAUACAAAACCCCUUGUCUUCAUUA